rnacentral:rRNA from 2 species
AGUGAAGCGGGAAAAGCUCAAAUUUAAAAUCUGGUGGUCUUCGGCCAUCCGAGUUGUAAUCUAGAGAAGUGUUACCCGCGUCGGACCGUGUACAAGUCUCCUGGAAUGGAGCGUCAUAGAGGGUGAGAAUCCCGUCUUUGACACGGACUACCGAGGCUUUGUGGUGCGCUCUCAAAGAGUCGAGUUGUUUGGGAAUGCAGCUCAAAAUGGGUGGUAAAUUCCAUCUAAAGCUAAAUAUUGGCGAGAGACCGAUAGCGAACAAGUACCGUGAGGGAAAGAUGAAAAGAACUUUGGAAAGAGAGUUAAACAGUACGUGAAAUUGCUGAAAGGGAAACGCUUGAAGUCAGUCGCGUUGGCCGGAAAUCAGCCUUCCUUUUGGUUGGUGUACUUUCUGGUUGACGGGCCAGCAUCAGUUUUGACCGGUGGAUAAAGUUGUGAGGAAUGUGGCAUCUUCGGGUGUGUUAUAGCCUCGCUUCGUAUACAUCGGUUGGGACUGAGGAACUCANCACGCCGAAAGGCCGGGGUUCGCCCACGUUCGUGCUUANGAUGCUGGCAUAAUGGCUUUAAUCNACCCGUCUUGAAACAC